ACGUACCCUACUAUUGUCACAAGACUCAACAAGACGAAAAUCAAACACAACAUUAACCAUUCUGACAUGAUGUAGGGUCCUAGAAUGUAGCUUUGGUUGUUGAAACCUUUUCUGCCUUUGCGAUUUGCUAAAACACACUCGGGAAUUGAUUUAUGUUGGUAGCUAACUAGCUGGCUUAAAAGCCAACUAAAGCCACAACUACUUUCACAUUUAAAACGUCCGUUAACUCGAUAACAACUCUCAUUCGAACGUUCGAAUACGGAUUAAUUUCCCUAAACAAGGACCAGUUGAAAACAACUUUCUGGGAUGCACCAUCUGUGGAAACGAAAGUGAGGAGGAACCGCCCCUGCAAGGCAGAGGAGGAGCCGUGACACUCUCCAGGAGCUGAAAAUGCUCCCCAGGGGCCACCUAUGCCACAUGUACAAGGAGGACAAGUUAAUGACAAAGGACAGCCAUGGCCAAUGGGAAAUCAGAAUACCAACAGUUCUUGUUUCCCUCAGAAUCAAAAAUUAAGGUGCCCGACUUCCCUGCUCCAGUGUCCCCAGUAUGAAUUCAAUUAUGAAAAUUAAGAGCUAAUGGUUACUCUUAAUGUUAAUAGACAUGACCUACCAUUUCUAAUAGACACUGGAGUUCACUGUUUCUGUUUAGGAAAACCUGGACAAGUUGUUUGGGCUUCUCUGAGCAAAUCAUCAGUAAUAAUAACAUUGGGACAGCCCAGGAAUGUGUACUGGACAAAAACUUGUUUGAAGAACCUCUGCUUGUCUCUGACAUGGUGCUGUUCAUUGAUGGUUCUGCCUAUAUAGAUCAAAGCCCAGGGAAGAAACAUGUAGGAUUUGCUGUAGUAGAUGUGGAAGGUGAUAUUGAGGUUAUACGGCCCCUACCAGACCAUUUAUCAACGCAAUAGACAGAUUUAUUAGCUCUGAACACAGCUUGUGAAUUGGGGGAAGGGAAGGCCCUUACUGUCUACUCAGACUCAACAUAUGCUAUUGGGGUUUGUUUGUCAUGGUGUGGGAUUUGGAGAGUAAGAGAGUUUACUAAUACCACAGGCACACCUAUUAAAAGCAGACCUUAUGUUGAACCGUUGAUUGAAGCUAUGUGAAACCUAACACAUUGGCUAUCGUUAAGUUUGAGGCACACACGGGUUGGUGUGAUUAUGCUAGAAUUGGUAACAGCAUAGCUGAUGAGGUGGCCAAAUUGGCUGUUUCCUGUUGUCACACACAUGCAUUCUAUUUUUAGUCGUUUGUGUCAUUUGAAACUACUGAUCUUGAGAAACAGCAGCAGGCUGAUAUUCUCAAUCACCAGGUGUGGAGGGAGAGAGGGUGUGCUCUCUGUCCAAGGUCUGGAUUAUGGAUACAUCUUUUGUCUGGCAUGCCCUGUUUACCAUCAACCAUGACCUUUAAUAUUUGCUGAUUGGCUCAUGGAGUGAGCCAUUCGUCAAAGGGGGAUAUUUAGUAGGAGGUGAAGUAGGAGGUGAAAAACCGCCCAAUGGUUUUGCCAAAAUUGUAAUCAGCACAUAAAACAGUUAUCAUUGCAUUUAUCAUUGCGUGACAUGUUUGUUAUAUAACAUAGACAAGGGAACUCCACUGCAACCAGGGAAGUUCCCACUCCAAAAUGACCUUUUGUCCACCUAGCUGUGGAUUUCAUAGACAUGGUUGAGCGAAAAGAAAGAAAGAGAUACUGCCUGGUGAUAAUUGACAGGUUUACCAGGUGGGUGGAACAAUCCCACCGCCAACUGCGUUGCGCGAACAGUUGCAAAAUUGCUAGUUAGGGAAAUUAUACUCAGGUUCGGAGUGCCUGAGUUUUGUCUGCAGGCAAUGGGACCCAUCUCAUAGGAGAUGUGGUUACCCAAAUGGCCAAAAUGAUGGGUGUUGACCAGAAGUUUGUCCAUCUAUCAACCGCGGAGUAACGGGAGUUACUGAGAGGGCUAAUCAGACCCUGAAAGGCUCCCUUACCAAACUAUGCCAUUCCACAGGAAUGACAUGGGUAGAGGGAUUACCUCUUGUCCUCAUGAAAAUGCGCAGCAGCCUGAACAAAAGUAUUGGGUGUACACCUUAUUAAAUGUUAACAAGACGACCAAUGAACACCCCAGGGGUGAGACCUAUGACUGACCAACAGAUAGACAUAACUGAGAUAUAGUGUGACCAUCUUGAGUACAUGAAGGAACUAACUUCUGUUGUAAGUUUUCCCCACUCUCACACUAGGAAAGCAGCAGAACCAAUCCCAGGUGAAGACCCUGACGAGCUACCCAUAAACGUUGGAGACUGGGUGAAACUUAGGGUCCACAAGCGAAAAUGGAACCAACCACAAUGGAUGGGUCCGUUCCAGGUAACCAUGGUAACACUAACAGCCCUGUGGGUAGCGGAGAGGUCUGGCUGGCAUCAUCUCUCCCACUGCAAGCAUCUCCCAGAGUGGAAGCCAUGGAUGAGCGACUGGAGGGAGGGAGAGCAGGGCCCCAAGAACAUCUGAUGGAUGAAGAAGGGCCGAGACCAAAGGCCAGAAGAACCAACAGAGGGUUCAGCCACAAAACCUGAAGAGUCAUCAGAUGUCGAGGACACCAUCAUACACACACACUAUGGUUGUGAAACAAGAACAUCGCAACCAUGGAAACACACAUGCAGGGUAAAACCAACUCUGGGGAACUGCAGCGUGCCAAACGACUCAUCCCAGACAAUCAGGAUGCCUAUGAUCGUGUCCUACACCCGGGUGAGAUUUUUGGUAUGUCAAUCAUACCCUCCUGGGGUGUGGCUGUCCUAGGAAAGUGGGUAAACAAUUUAACCUAUUCUUUAUAGGCCCAUAUGAUCUUAACGCUCCGAGGAUUUAGCCAACUCUCAUUAGAUGUCCAAAAUCUGAAAGCAGUCGUCAGCCGCCAUGAGUUGGCUUUAGAUGAUCUUUUGGCGAAGGAAGGAGGACACUGUAACGUACUAGGUAUUAUUGAUCCUGAAAAUUGUGUUAUGCUCCUCCCUGACUCCUCUGAGAAUAUGACUGCAAUAAUUGAUAAGAUUGCUGAUCUUAGUAAAACUCUCUCAAAAUCUGAAAAAUCUGUUUUUGACAAAAUUGGUGACUGGUUUAAUGCUAAAUUUGGAAAUGUGAUGGGAAAAGUUAUGUUGACUUUGUUUUCAUAGUUUACUCCUAUACAUGUAGGAGGUUUGGUGAUUUUGGUUACUGUUUACAUUUGUAAGAAAAUGACUGUAACUGCUCUUGAAUGUGAUGGUGUUGGUGGAAGCUGAUACAAAUUGUGCUGAAGGUGAUACUGGUGCAUUUCUGGUUUCUCUUAAUCCCAUUGUUUAUUCAACUCGUGUGGUUCUUCCCAGGACUCAGGAGGAAUGGGAGUAUAACCAGACUCACCCCACUCCCGCCAGAAUUCCAGGAACCUCAGAAGUUGUUUCUCCCUUUAGCAGGCCAUCCCUGGGAUCAAAUGGAUCCGGACGAUUUGCCUAAUAUAUUUGAUUUCAGAGGAGAAUAUUAUGAUUGAAGCUGUGAGACUAAUUAGUCUCAAAGGGGGAAAUGUCAGUUUCACCUUGGGGUCAUGAUAGGGGCUGUACCAAAUGUUUGAUGUAUUAUAAUAAUUGAUUAUGCUUAUGUUGUAUUAAUAGAAGGGGAGGGGUUACAAGACCCCUCCCUCCUUACAUUUAUAGGAUCCUAGACUACAGAUUAACAAUAUAUAUAUUCAUUAUAAAGGUUUAAUACUGUUCCACAGUCUUUUCUAAUCUCUGCCUCUUAUAAAGAAACUGUCUGAGAAAUGUGUGACUGAGACAGAACUCUGCAGGGGAGUGUAAGAGAUAACAGACUAGUCAGACAUUCCACUAUAAAUCAACUUGGGGAGUGGACAUUUACUGCUAUUUUAGAUAACACUAAAACUCUUGUUUAUAUCGCUGUGUAGGCAUGGUUUUGGUCUCAUGAGUAGAAGGUAAUGACGUAGGCAGUGACAUCACUAAGAUAUAUGACAGUAGGAAUAAUAAAACAACUCGGACCCUUUUCUAUUUUGCAGAACUUACUCGGAAACAUGCGUGCUAUGUUCCUGUUGUCAACUUCUGUCUGCAAUUGCAUUAAUAAAGGUUUUUGAAUGAUUUAAUUAAA